rnacentral:rRNA from 1 species
GACGAACGCUGGCGGCGUGCUUAACACAUGCCAGUCGAACGGAAAGGCCCUGCUUUUGUGGGGUGCUCGAGUGGCGAACGGGUGAGUAACACGUGAGUAACCUGCCCUUGACUUUGGGAUAACUUCAGGAAACUGGGGCUAAUACCGGAUAGGAGCUCCUGCUGCAUGGUGGGGGUUGGAAAGUUUCGGCGGUUGGGGAUAGACUCGCGGCUUAUCAGCUUGUUGGUGGGGUAGUGGCUUACCAAGGCUUUGACGGGUAGCCGGCCUGAGAGGGUGACCGGCCACAUUGGGACUGAGAUACGGCCCAGACUCCUACGGGAGGCAGCAGUGGGGAAUAUUGCACAAUGGGCGGAAGCCUGAUGCAGCAACGCCGCGUGCGGGAUGACGGCCUUCGGGUUGUAAACCGCUUUCGCCUGUGACGAAGCGUGAGUGACGGUAAUGGGUAAAGAAGCACCGGCUAACUACGUG